UGGGGAAUAUUGGACAAUGGGCGAAAGCCUGAUCCAGCCAUGCCGCGUGUGUGAAGAAGGUCUUCGGAUUGUAAAGCACUUUAAGUUGGGAGGAAGGGCAGUAAGCGAAUACCUUGCUGUUUUGACGUUACCGACAGAAUAAGCACCGGCUAACUCUGUGCCAGCAGCCGCGGUAAUACAGAGGGUGCAAGCGUUAAUCGGAAUUACUGGGCGUAAAGCGCGCGUAGGUGGUUCGUUAAGUUGAAUGUGAAAGCCCCGGGCUCAACCUGGGAACUGCAUCCAAAACUGGCGAGCUAGAGUAGGGCAGAGGGUGGUGGAAUUUCCUGUGUAGCAGUGAAAUGCGUAGAUAUAGGAAGGAACACCAGUGGCGAAGGCGACCACCUGGGCUCAUACUGACACUGAGGUGCGAAAGCGUGGGGAGCAAACAGG
rnacentral:rRNA from 1 species